rnacentral:rRNA from 1 species
UAGGGAAUCUUCGGCAAUGGGGGGAACCCUGACCGAGCAACGCCGCGUGAGUGAAGAAGGUUUUCGGAUCGUAAAGCUCUUUUGUUAAGGAAGAACGAGUGUGAGAAUGGAAAGUUCAUACUGUGACGGUACUUAACCAGAAAGGGACGGCUAACUACGUGCCAGCAGCCGCGGUAAUACGUAGGUCCCGAGCGUUGUCCGGAUUUAUUGGGCGUAAAGCGAGCGCAGGCGGUUAGAUAAGUCUGAAGUUAAAGGCAGUGGCUCAACCAUUGUAGGCUUUGGAAACUGUUUAACUUGAGUGCAGAAGGGGAGAGUGGAAUUCCAUGUGUAGCGGUGAAAUGCGUAGAUAUAUGGAGGAACACCGGUGGCGAAAGCGGCUCUCUGGUCUGUAACUGACGCUGAGGCUCGAAAGCGUGGGGAGCGAACAGG